AAUAUGUUGUGUUGUGAAGAGCAUACAUAAUAUUUAUGGUUUGUUAUAUUUCAUACAAGAGUUACAUGAUAAAUGAUGCCUUCUUUCUAAAUAUAAAAAAUGAAAGAUUUACAUAUAAGAGUUGUAAAAAAAGUGUCGUUGAAUUACAUGACAUUAGCUGUUUACAUACAAGAGUUUGGUAGGUGGAGUCAUAUAUUCGAUAUGAGAUUUGUAGGAUGAAUCUUUAUG
rnacentral:lncRNA from 1 species